GACAGAGGUCCCGAGCGUUAGGCGGAAUCACUGGGCUUAAAGCGUGUGUAGGCGGACUUGUAAGUACCUUGUGAAAUCCCACGGCUUAACCGUGGAACUGCUUGGUAUACUGCUUGUCUUGGGCCACUUAGGGGCUACCGGAACAAACGGUGGAGCGGUGAAAUGCGUAGAUAUCGGAAGGAACGCCGGUGGCGAAAGCGGCGCGCUGGACCUCUACUGACGCUGAGGCGCGAAAGCCAGGGGAGCGAACGGG
rnacentral:rRNA from 1 species